rnacentral:rRNA from 1 species
UACGUAGGGCGCAAGCGUUAUCCGGAAUUAUUGGGCGUAAAGAGCUCGUAGGCGGUUUGUCGCGUCUGCCGUGAAAGUCCGGGGCUCAACUCCGGAUCUGCGGUGGGUACGGGCAGACUAGAGUGAUGUAGGGGAGACUGGAAUUCCUGGUGUAGCGGUGAAAUGCGCAGAUAUCAGGAGGAACACCCGUGGCGAAGGCGGUUCUCUGGGAAUAUCCUGACGCUGAGGAGCGAAAGUGUGGGGAGCGAACAGG